rnacentral:lncRNA from 1 species
GCGUAAUAACUAUACUAAGUUGUUUAAAUAAAAGUAGUGUUAGUAUGAGAUUAAAAUGUUUGUGUAAAAUACUAAGUGAAUGGAAAUUAAAAGGUUUUGGGGUUGAUGUUACAUGGAUCAGCGACAAACGUGGAAGCAGUGAGAUCCAAAAACAAGCUUCGUGAGCCCGUAGGAGGAGUCUACAUUGUAAGCGUGCCACAAUUUCAUGGCCUAAUGUUUCCCAAGUUUUUCAAUUUCAUGGAUUUGGUAUUCUUUUCUUUUUUUACUUUUUAACUUUUGAUGAUCGGAUAAACGACAUUGACCUAGGAGUUAGAGUUAGGAACCCCAUUUGCCAAUAACUAGUAGCCAAAACGUAUGUCGCAUGAAGCUUUGUUUCUCAUAAAUUGUAUAUUCAGUAUAUAUACAAUCUUAAUAGAAAAA